AAAUUGAAGAGUUUGAUCAUGGCUCAGAUUGAACGCUGGCGGCAGGCCUAACACAUGCAAGUCGAACGGUAACAGGAAGCAGCUUGCUGCUUCGCUGACGAGUGGCGGACGGGUGAGUAAUGUCUGGGAAACUGCCUGAUGGAGGGGGAUAACUACUGGAAACGGUGGCUAAUACCGCAUAACGUCGCAAGACC
rnacentral:rRNA from 8 species